GUCGGACGGCAGCACAGAGAAGCUUGCUUCUUGGGUGGCGAGUGGCGAACGGGUGAGUAACAUAUCGGAACGUACCGAGUAGUGGGGGAUAACUAAUCGAAAGAUUAGCUAAUACCGCAUACGUCUUGAGAGAGAAAGCAGGGGACCUUCGGGCCUUGCGCUAUUCGAGCGGCCGAUAUCUGAUUAGCUAGUUGGUGGGGUAAAGGCCUACCAAGGCGACGAUCAGUAGCGGGUCUGAGAGGAUGAUCCGCCACACUGGGACUGAGACACGGCCCAGACUCCUACGGGAGGCAGCAGUGGGGAAUUUUGGACAAUGGGCGCAAGCCUGAUCCAGCCAUGCCGCGUGUCUGAAGAAGGCCUUCGGGUUGUAAAGGACUUUUGUCAGGGAAGAAAAGGCGACUGCUAAUAUCAGUUGCUGAUGACGGUACCUGAAGAAUAAGCACCGGCUAACUACGUGCCAGCAGCCGCGGUAAUACGUAGGGUGCGAGCGUUAAUCGGAAUUACUGGGCGUAAAGCGAGCGCAGACGGUUACUUAAGCAGGAUGUGAAAUCCCCGGGCUCAACCUGGGAACUGCGUUCUGAACUGGGUAGCUAGAGUGUGUCAGAGGGAGGUAGAAUUCCACGUGUAGCAGUGAAAUGCGUAGAGAUGUGGAGGAAUACCGAUGGCGAAGGCAGCCUCCUGGGAUAACACUGACGUUCAUGCUCGAAAGCGUGGGUAGCAAACAGGAUUAGAUACCCUGGUAGUCCACGCCCUAAACGAUGUCAAUUAGCUGUUGGGCAACUUGAUUGCUUAGUAGCGUAGCUAACGCGUGAAAUUGACCGCCUGGGGAGUACGGUCGCAAGAUUAAAACUCAAAGGAAUUGACGGGGACCCGCACAAGCGGUGG
rnacentral:rRNA from 1 species